CGUGUCGUGAGAUGUUGGGUUAAGUCCCGCAACGAGCGCAACCCUCGUCCUAUCGUUGCCAGCGGGUCAUGCCGGGGACUCAUGGGAGACUGCCGGGGUCAACUCGGGAGGAAGUGGGAUGACGUCAAAUCAUCAUGCCCCUUAUGUCUUGGGCUUCACGCAUGCUACAAUGGCCGGUACAAAGGGCUGCGAUACCGCGAGGUGGAGCGAAUCCCAGAAAGCCGGUCUCAGUUCGGAUUGGGGUCUGCAACUCGACCCCAUGAAGUCGGAGUCGCUAGUAAUCGCAGAUCAGCAACGCUGCGGUGAAUACGUUCCCGGGCCUU
rnacentral:rRNA from 1 species